GGGUAUUAUGCAUCGAGAGGUGGUGUUAUCUGCUUUAGUGUUCUUGAUUAAUAAUUCAGGAUAGAAAAUAAUUGAUGAGAAGUGUGUUAACUUAAAUGAAGCAAUAAGUGAAGUUAUGAUCUUAAAUAUCCGUAAUCUUAAUUUAACUAGUGGUAAUUAGAAUUAGUUUACUUAUAAAUUGAAAUUCAUUCAUUUAAAUAAGAUUGAGUUGGUUACGAGUUAGUACUUGGUAAUUUUUAUUAAACAAUUCCUCGUGAGAAUGAUACUCUACUUACACUUUAUUACUUGUUGACCGCGUAUACUUGCGUGUUCUGCGUAACUAGAUUUUCUCCAAUAAUUUUUUGGCACCGUUGCCGGGGAAUUAGUUUAAUAUAUAUUUUGCCAAUAUUAGCUUCAAUCAAAUUAGUCUUAAUUUAAACAUUUUCUUUCUUUCUUUUUAUUUAAUUCUCUUCCUAUUUUUCUCUCUUUUCAGGUACCAUGGCUGGAUGCAAUUAUCAAUGGCCAUAUACGAGUAAGACUCAACCAAGGAACACAAUAAUUGAUGGACUUAAUGCAUUUUUUGCAUUGUCAGCACAAAUUGAAACACUUUCGAAGAGGUUGGAUGUUCUUGCAGCCCAACGUAUUCGAAAGAUCGCAGUAGUUUGUAAUUAUUGUGCUGACAAUCAUCCGAGUCAUCAAUGAAUCGUCAGACUUGUACCAGUACAAUAUGGGGGUGACUACCUCAACGAUUAUGCAUAUGCCAAUUAAAACCAAGAUUGGGGGUAGCACCCGGAUUCGUCAUGGAGCUACAAUUAUGAAGACCAAUACUACGCUCCAAAUCUAUCAUACACACCGGAAUUUUCAUGUCCACCUCCAUUGCCACAAGAUGAAAAGCCAAAUCCGAGGGAUUUAAUAUUGAAGGGCAUAGCAAACCUAGAGGAGAUGAGGAUUAGCCAAGAGCUGUCAACCGAAAAUUUCAAUAAUCGGAUGGAACAACUUGUCACUACCUCAACUAAUGGUUCUUAGUACAUGGCUUCCGAGAUUGAGACGGAUAAUUCAGGGUUGGAGGAACUGUUGUCCAAGUUCGUAGCAUCAAAUGAGGAGAGGAGGAUUUGUAACGAUUGAGAAAUUUAUAAUUUAAUUUAAAUAUUUAUGGAAUUAAAUAAAUAUUUUAAAUAAUUUAUUUAUUGAGAAAAUAAAUAAUUGAUGGAUUAUAAUGAAUUAAAUUA
rnacentral:lncRNA from 1 species